CAUCCCAUUUAUUUGAAAUUCCAGAAAAGGCAAAAUUAAUCUGUGGUGAAAAAAUCAUAACAGCAGUUCCUUCUAACAGGAUAUUGACUGGGAAGGCACACAAGAGAAAUUUCUGGGUGCUAAAAAUGGUCUGUCUUAAUAGGGGUAGGAAUUACAAAAAAUUCAGUUAACAUUUCAAUGAAUGUAAAUUUUAUCUUAAAAACUAUAAAAAUAAUUUAAAAUUUAAAAUCUAGUAGCUAACACCUAGUUGAGCGCUCAGUGUCUAUGGGUAUUGGCCAAAGCUAUACAUACACAAUUUUGUUUAGUCCUCAUACUGUCCUCACGAGGUAGGUAUUAUUAUCAUAACCCCCUCGCAUAUGAAGAAGCCCAAAUUUAGUAAAUACUAAAUAACUUUCCUUAAUUUAUACCCCCUGGAAAAUGGGGGAAGAGCUUUGAAUACCAUCAGUCAAAUGCCAUAAGUUAUUAAAUAUUAGACCCUAUAGCACUUCUCUGAAAUUGUAAUAUUUUUGGUAUAUAUAUAUAUAACUCAUCUACUAGAUCAAGAGCUUCACAAUGAUUGAAAUCAUAGUUUGCUUUUUGUUUGAGGUUUAUGGGUUUAUUUUAUGUCAUUAUUUUAAAGACUGGGUCUUGGCUGGGCACGGUGGCUCACGCCUGUAAUCCCAGCACUUUGGGAGGCCAAGGUGGGUGGAUCACUUGAGGUUAGGAGUUCGAGACCAGCCUGGCCAACAUGGUGAAACACCAUCUCUACUAAAAAUGCAAAAUUAACUGAGUGUGGUGGCGCAUGCCUGUAAUCCCAGUUACUCGGGAGGCUGAGGCAGGAGAAUCACUUGAACCCGGGAGGUGGAGGUUGCAGUGAGGCAAGCUUGUGCCACUGAACUCCAGCCUGGGCCACAGAGUAAGACUCCAUUUCAGAAAAAAAAAAAAAAAAAAAAAAGAAUGAGUCUCACUAUGUUGCCCAGGCUGCACUUGGACUGUUGAAUUCAAGCCAUCCUCCUGCCUAGGCGUCUUGAGUAGCUGGGACUACAGGCACACACUAUCACGCCCAAUAUUUUUGUCUUAAGUUUCUAAGGAGUCCCAACACUGCACAGUAGCUGUUCAAUAUAUUUUGAGUGAAUGAUUAAAAACAAGCUUGGUGUUGAUUUUAUUGGUACAAUUUAUAUUUACAUAUGUAAUGUUUAUAUUAUAUGCUUUUUAUAUAUUUAUAUGUGUGUAUGUAUAUAAUUGGCACCAACGUAGCAUUGCUGUGCUUAAGUGCCUGAGAUGUAUCUCAAAUGAAUAGACCUGAGGAGAGAAGCUUGUGUCAUUAGCUCUGACCCUGCAGCACUAAUCUUGGUUUACCCCUUUAUUUCACUCACCCUGAGCACAUCAAUUUAUUUGGUGAAAGAGCUUACACUUCAACAUCUCACUGAAAUAGCUCAUUCCAAAGAAAGAGCUAAUUCUAACCUCUCACAAGUGCUUGAGCAUUUGCAUAAGUGAAAUUUCACUGUGUGAGUUUCACCCAACACCACCUCUGCUCCAGCUCCUGCUACUCUACUGCUCAUACCGUGGAACUCCACAGGUGGAGUAGAAGAUCAUCAGAGAGAGUUUUAUUUGCAGUAAAUUCGGUGUGCAACGGGCAAAGCAACGAGGAGUCAAGGUGAGGCAGAAGAACAGCAGAGGGAAGUGGAAGUUGGAUAAAGGGUGAACUGAGUAGGAGCGGAAGCAGGAUAAAGAGGUGGGUGAGCAAGAAGCAAGAUAAGCAGAAGUUGAGCAGCGAAAACAAAAGUGAGAUGGAGUAGUGAGUAAAAGUUUAUGGCUGGCAGGAUCCAGAGCAAACCAGUAAAAGGCAUGCAUAUGAGAGAGAAAAAGUAGCCUUUAAAUGACCCCGUAUGAUAAUCAGCUCAUUAAAGCUAAUGCAUGUGGACUGCAUAUCAUGGGUGUACUUAAAAUUAUGGGAUGGAGGUGAUGCGGAAGCACACAGGGGCCAAGUAACUAAGCAACCCACCUAUCAAUCAGAAGGCACAUGCUGGGUAGAGAUUAGGCAGCCCCAGGAAGAGGAGAAAAAAGAAAAAAAAAAAACAUGUAAAAAGACCCAAAGCCCAAAGUUCACCAAACUGACGCUGAUCUCAUUUUGCAGAAGUCAGCCCGUUCUCCCCUCUCUGAGAGUGUUACUGUGCUUAAUAAGUCUCUUGCUGCUUUGCUACAUGUGUGUGUGUCACUUCCAAUUCUUUGUUAAAGACACCAAGAACCUGGGACUUCACAACACCAGCCGGUAACAAAGGUAUGUAAGCUUGGGAGGGAGGAAAGAAAGAAGGGAGCAAGAGGAGAUUCAGACAUGAGAUGCAUUCACCCUAUGAGUUGAACCCUGGUCUCCAGCGUGGGAGUUGACAAUUCUAUUACUGAACCAUCAAUGCUCCGUGUGGUAUAACCUCUCAUAGUUUUUUUUUUUUUUUUCUUAAAGAUAAUCUCUAGUGCUAUGGGCAGGCAUGAGCAGGCAGGGAGGAUGGAGGUGGGAAAGUUCUAUAAUAGGCUUACACAGAUAUUUUUGGGAAACAGAGCUAACAAAGCAACAGCCACUUGAAGCAAAGGCUUGCCGUAAACCUUCCACAGUUUGCCAGGAGAAGAAAUUCUGUAGUGAAAUUUUCACUUUCUCUCUUGUGUAGAUCUCUGUAAGACACAAAAGUUGGAUGACAGUCGUUUUGAUUCUUGGACUUUACUAGAGACUCCAAAGACGCAUCUGAGGAGAAAAGCUCUGGGUCCCUGGGAUGACUGUGCCACUCGACAUAGCCUCCUGGAGUGGCCAAAGAGAGUGUGGAUAAGAAAAGAAAUAUUGGAGUGAACUUUCACUCACUCCCACUUCUGUAGGUUUCUUAAAAUAUAUGGGUUUAGAAGCAAGAUACUUGGCGUUUUCAAAUGACUCAAAAGAGAUGUAGAUGAAGAGAAGUUCGGUCAUCCCACAGAUCUUCCGGAGUAACCUGGACACAUCCCUAAAUCUCUAGCUCCUGGGUCUUCGAAAGCCUGUUUGCCUCAGGGUUGGGAGGAAAGGGUUUGGAAAGUACCAAGGCAAGGGUUGGCAAAAAGAUUACCUCAUCAGUGAGGAAAUGAAAUUUCCAGAAGUUUUCGCCAGAUCUGGGACCAGAGAAAAAUGCUGGAUGAAUUUCCUAUGCAAACCUUUUUUAGAACCACCGCUUCAAAGGCCGUCCAGAGACUUCAAAUUAGAUCUGGUGAAACUGCUCCCGGUAGGGGAUUGGUAGUUCAGCGGUAGAGGUUUUUGUCUCCCACGCCGGCGACUCUGGUACGACUCCCGGCCAUGCAGGACUUCUUACCCUUCCGGGAGGAAGGGCUACUACGUUUCUACCCAACGAAGUUAUUAUAUUAUACAGGCUGUACUGCAUUUAUGGACCUUGGUCGUGGCAGCUAGAAGCUAACCUGAGGGGCGUGCCACCUCUGGAGCAUUCUCUGUGCUCGAACUAAUAAUCCCGGAAUUUACGUUCCUGUGCUCGAAGCCUGUCCUUGAAAGUGGGGAGUGCUUCCGGUGGGUUGCUGCAGUUUUAAAUACUGGGAAUUAAAACCUUUGCUACUUUCAUCUAGUCUCCCGGCAAACCCCUGGGUAACCCAAAGCCCAUCAGAGGGAUUCGCGUGCUGGGCUUUCCGCUACGUUAGGUCACGUCUCACUAUGGAGCGAGGAUCAAGAAGGUCCGGGAAGGAGAGAAGCUGCGGGGUCCAGGGAGGCUCUUCGGUGGUUGGUCGGAGAGGUUUCAGCCGCCCAAGGAAAAGGGAAGAGUGUGGGAAUCUAUCCGCGUAGAGAUGAGGGGCGCGGCGGAGACAGUCUCACGCAGAGGCAGCCCCCUUCUGUUUUUCAGUGAAGCCGCUGCAGGAAAGUCGGGUUUGUGAGAAGACCCACACAGGCAAGGACAGCAGGAGAACACUGACAUAGUUACACUCUUGUCACCAGCACUGUCAUUAAGAAGUUGUGAAAAGACAAAGACAACAGAGGAGAGCGGAGAAUAAAAUCUCCGUUUCAGCUAUUCCAGGAUGUUGUGCCAAUUGUCCCGUGUCCUUGAUAGGAAGUAGUAAGGAGCUAGGGACAUUUUUCCUGAAGGCUUCCAUUGCUGGCAAAAUCUCAUUAAAGGUGUCUACAUUGAUAGGUUGGCCACAGGAUGGAUACAAGAACAGGCUCUGGCUUACCUCUGCCAAGAUAUAUGUGUAAGAAUACUCUCUGCAACAUUAAUUUUUAUUGUAAAAUAGCAGAAUAAUUUUAUUAUUCAAUCAUUAUAUAAUGUUCAAAUGUAUGUGACUUUAUUUGGACAAUGAAAAAUGUAGUUGUUAAAAAUAGACAAUACAGAUGAUUCAGAUGAUGUUACUGAUGAAAAUAACAGAUGACAAUUACUGAGCAUUUAUGGCACUCUUACAUACAUUAACUUAUUUAAAGUUCAGAACAACCAAGGAAAUGAGCAACCUGUGGUGGGCGUGAGAGGUUCUGUGGCACAAAAGGAAGAUAGGCAUUCAAAGAACACCAGGAUAGAAGAGCCGCAGUAGGCCGGGCGCGGAGGCUCACGCCUGUAAUCCCAGCACUUUGGGAGGCCGAGGCGGGCGGAUCAAGAGGCCAGGAUAUCGAGACCAUCCUGGCUAACAGGGUGAAACCCCGUCUCAACUAAAAAUACAAAAAAUUAGCUGGGCUUGGUGGCACGCGCCUGUAGUCCCAGCUAUUCGGGAGGCUGAGGCAGGAGAAUCGCUUCAACACGGGAGGCGGAGGUUGCAGUAAGCCGAGAUCGCGCCACUGCACUCCAGCCUGGGCGACAGAGCGAGAUUCGGUCCCCAAAGAGAAGAAGACCCGCAGUAGGAGGAAGAGGGAGGAAGUGGAGUCGGCCAGCUGGGAUGCUGGAAGCCAUUGGAUAGCUCAGGCUGAGAGAGGGCGCUGUGCGCCGCAAGCCUCCCUGCAACCGCAGACCUCGGGCCGCCUUCCUCCAGGAAGACGCUCCAGACUUCUGGUAUCCGUUGAGAUCUAGUUUCCCUUGAGACGCUGCAAAGUGCAUCGUCCUUGAGCAUUUCUCCUCUCCCCAAGACCCUCCGAAGGAAGGAUGAGCGGACGGAAGAUUCACACCGAAGUGGUCGAGCGCCCAGAUCCCCGGCUUCCCUGGGAGCAUUUCCCAAGUUUCUUUCAUGGGUAAGAGUGGGCCCAGCAGGAUAAUGCCUCCGGUUCUAUGAGGAGCAGUGGGGGAGAUGCCCACGUGGCCACCUCUGUGGGCUACACGACCCAGGCCUUCCAGGAGGAGCGAGGAGUCCUGGGCCCGGGUCCAGCGGUGCCAAGAGAAGCAGCAAGGCAAGGGGUCCCCUCCUACCUCAGGGUCUCUGUCCUACUGGGGUUAGGAGACGUUCAUCCAACUCCCUCUCCAAGUGUUGGAGAGGAGGCUAGGUCUUUCCCACGAGCUGGGGAGGAAGAGGUGGCAGAGGCGGAAGAGGAAGCCAGCUGAGAUGUGCGAAGCAGCUCUGGCUAUAACCGGUAGGGAGAGGGCGCGCAGGACCCAGGAGCCUCCGUGCGGAGCCAGGCCUCAGGAGCAGCCGCCUUGCUCCUGGAAGGGGUGCCUCCCUCCAUCUUCUGUCCAAAGACUGUAGGGAGACCUUCUCGCCUGGUGGGAAAGCGACGUCUCCCAUGCUUUCCCACCACGCAGGCCUUGUGUCCCUUUUCCUGCUAGUGUCUGACCGCCAGCCUGCGGGGGCUGCGGCUGCCGCGGUUCUAAGCUGGGUGGAGGCUGCCCGCCCGCUAGCCAAGAGCCGCGCUAGGAGGCAAGAGUCGGGAAGUCGUGUGCAGGCCGGGAGGAGUCCCAAGCUCUGGGUCAGGGCUUUUUUUGCCAAUAGCCAAAUUCAACGUGUAAAAGACAGCUCACAUCUGUCUGUUCCUGAGCUUCAGUCGGAACAACAAGGAAGGCCCUCAAGAUCCCUAGGAGGGUGGCGGAAGGGUCUCUAGCGGCGAUAUCCGCGUCGGGGGCGGUGAGCCAAGGACUGUCAGGAGCCUGCGCGAACCCAGCCCCCGGGUAGCGCAAACACCACCGCAGACAAGGGCCCCGCGUGUAGGGAAAUCGCAGGGGUCAGAGCAGCUGGAGUGUGGUGGACUAGCCUCAACCAGGGAGAGCUCCCUUCUUGACCACGGUCUGUCCCUCGCCAGGUAAGAGGAGACGAGUGUCAGUACAGCCUCCUCUCCCCUAGCCAGAUGCUCAGGGUCACCACCUUCCCCUCUGCUCGCCCGUCGCCAUUCUUCCAACCACUCGCUGCCAAAGAUUCCACCAACAGUCACCCACAGGACAACCCAGGCCUCCUUUCAGCAGGGGCUCCCGCCCCGCAGCCACCGCGCCCUCUCACCCCCGCAGUUCUGCCCGCCGCCUCUGCCCAGUCUGUGCACUUCACCUCCCUCGCUCCCGCUCUCCCCUGAGCUUUACAGUGGACACAGGGUUCGUCCCCACCCUUCUUGGGAGUACUGAAUGGAAAAGGGGGAGGGUGCACAAUUGCUUGGUAGAGUGUAGACAGACAUUGCGGGAUUUGACUGUGGUACUAUCCCUUUGAUGUCCUAGUGAUUUUUACACCUGCCUUCUGCUUAGGGCACCGGCCACAGUUUUCCAUUAGUGCCUACUCCACCUGCUGUCGUUGUUGGGUAAGCGAACAUCGCCCUCCUGUACCACCCAGUCAAUAAAUGGGCGGUCCUGGAGGACCUCACCCGCCGCUCACCCCCCUCCCAACCUCGCGGCCAUCGCCUCCUGUCGCCUCUUCCGAAGGCCUAAGAAGCAUGUUAGCUGCGAACUGAGGUGAGGAGGCUCAGCUGACCGCCUGUGUCAGCUGACGACGUGUGCCGCGCACAAACGCCACGACUUGGCUUGGCCUCUCUCUCUCUUAGUUAUUUGCAGCUCAGCCCAAUCGGCGCCUCUGGGAUGGCGGAGGCGGCAAAGAUGGUGGGCUUCUUGGGUACACCUCCAGGAGAGCUGGCAUCUCUGCACGGUGGUGUACACCUGAGCGAGACGCUCAGUCGCUCUCUAAAGCCCCUUCUGCGAAUGGUGGACACGGAGAUAAAUAAGAGGGUGUGUCAUGAGAGGCCGUCCACCAGGACUUGCCCUCCUUCGCCAGGGUUUGCACCUUGCAGGGAGACUCUUCUGCCUCUGGCUCUUGGAGCAGGCCGGCUGACAGCGGAGUAAAGAAAGAUUACUGCGGGUGGGCAGUCAGUGCAAAACAACUCCCUGACCGGUAAUCGAACCCGGGAUGCGGUGGUGAAAGGACUGAAUCACAGCCACUACACCAGCACGGGGGCACGGGAGAGUCUUUCUCAACCUUAUUGCCAUUUAAGUGACUGUUUCUGAGUGCGCUGGGAGGACUUGGGCCUUGUGGGAGUCGCUGGUCACUCCUGGAGUCGUCUCACAAGGCCUUUCCCUCCCUCCUUUCUCCAAAAGAGGAGCCCGCAGGCGACACACCCAGCACUCUGCGAGGCCCACCAAGGCCCCGAUUCCCGAGUCCUGGAGCGAGUUGCAGCGCCCUGGCUGCAGCUGACCACUGACCUAGAGAUGUGCCUUUGCGAAGUGGCAGCGCAUGGAGAAACAGUAGCGGGUCGCUGGGGCCAGAGCCGCUCACCGGGUAGCCAGGAGCAGGCCGGAGCGAGGAGGCUCCCGGGGUGACACCGGGGCACCCUGAACAUCAUAAAGGACUCAGACCUUGGCAUUCCCGACGUCAUAUAGGACUCACACGGAUGCGGAAACCGAGACGGGCUGGAUGGAAAACUCUUUCCAGACAGGCUCCGGGGCCCUCAACUGGUCUCCGACCUUCCCCUGCAACCUGCAACACCUGCCAUUUUCCCAUCUUAGGCUCCAGAAGCAGAAUCAAGUGGGAUGUCUUGGAAGAAAAACAAACAAAAGGCCCACUAGGUGGAGUGAAAUGGAUCAGGAGCAAUUAUGUUCAAUGGCACCUUUAAGUUUUCUCAAAAGGAGGAGGAUUAAGAAUCAGCCACCUUAGUACAUACUUAAAGAUUUACUGAAACCUGAUCCUGUCCCUGCUGAUGAAACGUCAGAGGAAUGGGAUCCUGUAGGUGAAGAUCAUCAGCUUAUAAAAUCCUGUUGCCAUCAAUGGGGGUAGCAGGAAAAUGAUGAAGAUUGGUUAAGGGGCCAGUGGACUCAGCAUUGAAAUGAAUCAUGGACUUGAAGCCAAAAGACUCAGUUUGUGUCCCAGCUCUCUCAAGCAAAGCCCCCAAGUCCCAGUUUCCUCAUCUAUAAAAAAUAAUAAAAAUACUUCAUGGACAAA